rnacentral:rRNA from 1 species
UACGUAGGGGGCUAGCGUUGUCCGGAAUCAUUGGGCGUAAAGAGCGCGUAGGCGGCCAGAUAAGUCCGCUGUGAAAUCUCGAGGCUCAACUUCGAGCUGUCGGUGGAAACUGUCUGGCUAGAGUCCGGAAGAGGAGAAUGGAAUUCCUGGUGUAGCGGUGAAAUGCGCAGAUAUCAGGAAGAACACCCGUGGCGAAAGCGGCUCUCUGGAACGGUACUGACGCUGAGACGCGAAAGCGUGGGGAGCGAACAGG